rnacentral:rRNA from 1 species
UACGGGGGGGGCAAGCGUUGUUCGGAAUUACUGGGCGUAAAGGGCGCGUAGGCGGUUGGAUAAGUCAGCUGUGAAAACCACGGGCUUAACUCGUGGCCUGCAGUUGAGACUGUCUGGCUUGAGUGUGGGAGAGGAGAGUGGAAUUCCUGGUGUAGCGGUGAAAUGCGUAGAUAUCAGGAGGAACACCGGUGGCGAAGGCGGCUCUCUGGACCACAACUGACGCUGAGGCGCGAAAGCAUGGGGAGCGAACAGG